rnacentral:rRNA from 1 species
GAUGAACGCUGGCGGCGUGCCUAAUACAUGCAAGUCGAGCGAACAGAUGAGGAGCUUGCUCCUCUGACGUUAGCGGCGGACGGGUGAGUAACACGUGGAUAACCUACCUAUAAGACUGGGAUAACUUCGGGAAACCGGAGCUAAUACCGGAUAAUAUAUUGAACCGCAUGGUUCAAUAGUGAAAGACGGUUUUGCUGUCACUUAUAGAUGGAUCCGCGCCGCAUUAGCUAGUUGGUAAGGUAACGGCUUACCAAGGCAACGAUGCGUAGCCGACCUGAGAGGGUGAUCGGCCACACUGGAACUGAGAAACGGUCCAGAAUCCUAAGGGAGGCAGCAGUAGGGAAUCUUCCGCAAUGGGCGGAAGGCUGAAGGAGCAAAGCCGCGUGAGGGAAGGAGGUCUUCGGAUCGGAAAAAUCUUUUAAUAGGGAAGAACAAAUGUGGAAGUAACUAUGCACGUCUUGACGGUACCUAAUCAGAAAGCCACGGCUAACUACGUG